GUACAUCUUCGCGUUCUUCAUUACAGUUCACGCCUUCGUACUGUAUACAUCUUUCUGAAAAGAAGUGUUAGCUGGUUAAUCCUACGUACACAUCAGGUUUGAUAUGACGUGUUUUUGAUCAUGGAUUGUAAAAUAGUACAAAAACGUCAAGUACAUAUAGUGGUGGGUUUUAUGGAAAAAGAAUAAUAUACAUCGUUUUAACGCAAAAUUGUGAUAUCGUUCGAUUAUGGAUAAGAAUACCGUUAUUAUUUUAUUAAAAUACUUUUAUGAAAAACAGCUUCUAUAAAAAGAGUAAUAUUACGAAAUGUCUAUAACUGUGAAUAUAAAUCUUCAUACAAAACAUACGACAUGAAAUAAGUUAUCUUGAUUCAUUAAUGCAAUAUAUUUACCCAUAGACCAUAUACUACUGGACUACACAUCAGUGACGGGGGGUUGUUGCCAUAGUACAAACGAUUUCUACAAAAAUAAUAUCACAAAUGCCCGUAAUUGUGAAUGCAAGUAUUCGUACAUAAUGUAUCAUUCGAAAUAUCUUGAUUCAAAAGUUUAUAACUAUAAUCUCUUUAGUAUAUUAAAAACAACGCAAUUGGUUUGUCUCACCAUCGAACAAUGCUUCUUCAACUUCAGUCUUCUGUGUCUUUUCUUCGUACGAUCACCUUUAUUAUAUUUUAUGUUUAUAAAUUAAUGCAAAACCUUGGCACUGUUGCUGGAUUUCAAAAUAUGAGACAUCAGUGUCAACUUUAAAAUUAUAUGAUUUAUAUGAAUUUAUACAAUUCAUGGUUAUCAUAGUUAUAUUAUAUCACAUGUACUUGACAUUUCCAACCAGUACAUCUCCAUGUUCUUCAUUUUAUUCCACAUAUUCCUAGGAUAUAAUUGUUUUCUAGAACGAGAAUUGCUUUCUUGAUCUUACAAUGGCACAUAUAAUCUAUCUGCAAUUUUUAUUUUUGUUACAUAUAACUGCAUUAAGAAAUUUUAGUUUUUAAUCAAACAUGCAUGUUUUUAAAUAUAUGUAUUUAUCUGUUGUAUACUGUGAUAUCUUACAAUAGGACAAUUUUCUAAUCAUAUUCUAAUAAUGAUCAUUUUUAUUAAAUGACGAUUAUAGAUGUUUCUGUGAUAGCAGAUUCCACGAACAUAUCUCAGUUUGUAAGAUAUUAAAUGUAAAUUAAGCAAUUACUUUUAUAUAUACAAAUAUAGAAACCUAAUAUACAAGUUCACACGCGUGCACGCUACACAUGCACAGCACAUUUUACUUGCUCAAGUAUUAUUCUAAUUAUUUUCUAUAAUUGUACAUAAACUGUUUUAUAUAAACAUAUUAUAAUGUUACUUAAUAUGUAAAUAUUGAACUCAUAGUAAAUUGAUAUUUUUAUGCAACAAGUUAUUUGAAAACGAGACACAUGUUGCCUUAUCUUUAAGUUUACUCACUUACUUUCACUAUACUAUCAGAUGAUUGAUAUUGGUAUCACUUCUGCACAGAAUAUAUAACAGUAAAGUAAGAUACCGAUGCAGUACACAACUGUAACGAAAACAUUAAUUUGGCUUCCAAAAUAUGUUAUGUUAUACAUGUGUCACACAUAUUGAUGUCUAAUACACCUUUACCGAAGCAAAGCCCUCUAAAGAUGCUAUAAAAAGUCCACCUGUUUUGAGGCCGUACAUCUUACAGCUUCUUUGCAACAGGAACAAUAUCAAUUUCUGUACGCGUAUGGGAGCCAUAUACCACUGAACGUUGUAUCUGUAAAGUAACAAUUAGUCAAUAAGAUCAUUUGAAAUGCGAAAUACAUGAUUAAGCUAAAACAUUGAAGUUCAUAUUUACAGGUUAUGUAAAUAAUUAUUAAUUUCAACAUCAUGUUUGUUAUUCUAAUCUGAUGUGUUAAGACAUUCUAUAAUAUUAUUGAUAUAGUAAGAAGUAAUGACAAAUUAAGUCAAAUGUUUAUGUCAAAUAUCUUACGCAGUAGAAAACAUGUUGUUGUAGUGCUCUAUAAUUUCUUCACCGGAAGUAUUGGCUAGGAACGAAUAUAGAAGCACAGCAGAUGCAAAUAUAAGGUGUAAUAGAAAUUCCUCUACUUUAUCUCGAAGCAGUGCAGUUUCAAGUACCUAGAACAAUAUAAUUUUCACAUUGUGCCUGCGUGCGUGUGCGUAUGUGCGUGCGCGCGUGUGUGUGUUGUGUUAGCGAGAGAAGAGGAAAGAAACGUGCGUGUCUUAAAAUAUUUUUCACCUAAGUUAGAUAUGUAUAUCAUAAUAGAUAUACGUAAAAUGGAAAAUACGUAAAAUGUUUCUCCUAUUAAAUACUUUUGAUUCUGUAGUAAAACUUGGUGGAUCAUUGAUAAUAUGAUGAAUUGCAUUUCGUAUAUGCAUGUAUAAUUAUUUUCAAUAUUUGUUUUAUUUGCUUUCUAUUUCUAUUUUUGUGCAUCAGUGGUUCCAUUACAUAUCCUGUUGAAUUGCUCAUACAAGAAUGCAUAAAACUGCAAACCUUUGUUAAAGAACUUACUUCAUAUAGAUUAAAGCAUAAACAAAGUACGGCUACUACCAUUAGACAAAAGUAUGUUCCAUUAAAACUAGACGUAAAUAAGUCAGACAACCUUAAAGAAUAUGAGAGCAAUUUAUUUCACAUGUACAACAACUAUUUAAAACAUGGGAAAUAUAUAGGUGUUUCAAAAUUACGUGUAAUAAUUAUGGUAUUCCGACAUAUCUGAGAGCGGAAAUUUUAGGUAUGGUAUUAGUAAACUUCAAUCAUUCACUUCUAAACUUUGUACAUAUUAUAUCCUCGACAUUUUUGUUCUAAAAUUUUUGUCUUAGAAAGCUCAUCUGCGCUAGUGUUUUCGGAUCAUCGUACAUGUGUAGCAGAAACGCACUCAAUGGCUGUACGAUGAACAUCCACUGCAAGACGUAUCUUCUUCUCGAUCAUCUUGUUCCUCAGAUCAGUGUUUUCAUAAAUAUUUAAUAUCAUUGAUUGUUCUAUACGGUAACUACAAAUAAAUUUAUUACU